rnacentral:rRNA from 1 species
AUGCUGAUUAUGUUGAUUGUGAUGUGGUACCUAUGCAAGCAUGUUCCUUAUUACUUACUUGGUAGACCAUGGCAAUUUGAUAAAAAUUCUGUACACCAUGGUAGAAACAAUCACUAUACUCUUGUUCAUAAGGAUAAAAAUAUUACUUUGCUUCCUAUGACUCCUGAUUCCAUUUUGAAAGAUGAUAUUAAUAGAGCUAAUAAAGCAAAACAGGAGACGAAUAAGAGUGAAAAUCAGAUUGUGGCAAAAGAAUUUGAGCAGCAAAUGAAGCCUAAUAAUAAACCAUCUAGUGUUGCUUCUGAAAUUAAAUUGAAAAGUGCAUGUUUAUUUGCCACCAAAUCUGAUAUUGAUGAGCUAGAUUUCAGCCAAUCUGUUUGCUAUGCUUUUGUGUGCAAAGAGGCAUUAUUUUCAUUCGAGGACGUGCCUUCGUCUUUGCCUCCUGCUGUCACUAACAUUUUGCAGGAGUUCGCUGACGUCUUUCCACAAGACGUGCCACCAGGAUUACCGCCUAUUCGAGGGAUUGAGCAUCAGAUUGACUUAAUUCCCGGUGCUUCACUGCCAAACCGUGCACCAUACCGUACCAAUCCAGAGGAGACGAAGGAGAUUAUGCGUCAAGUACAAGAGCUUCUCGACAAAGGUUAUAUACGCGAAUCCCUUAGUCCUUGUGUCGUUCCUAUUAUUCUAGUGCCGAAAAAGGAUGGUACAUCACGUAUGUGUGUUGAUUGUAGAGGCAUUAAUAAUAUUACUAUUCGUUAUCGUCAUCCUAUUCCUAGGCUAGAUGAUAUGCUUGAUGAAUUGAGUGGCUCUACAAUAUUCUCCAAAGUUGAUUUGCGUAGUGGAUACCAUCAAAUUCGUAUGAAAUUGGGAGAUGAAUGGAAAACAGCAUUCAAAACUAAGUUUGGAUUGUAUGAGUGGUUAGUCAUGCCUUUUUGGUUAACUAAUGCACCUAGUACUUUAAUGAGAUUAAUGAACGAAGUGUUACGUGCUUUCAUUGGACGAUUUGUGGUAGUUUAG